rnacentral:tRNA from 1 species
GCGGAAGUAGUUCAGUGGUAGAACAUCACCUUGCCAAGGUGGGGGUCGCGGGUUCGAAUCCCGUCUCCCGCUCCA